GGGGACGGGUGAGAUGAGGUGGGAGCUCGUAGCACCAAAAGCACCUUGAUCUGCUAUUCAGUCUUGCCCUUUCAGCCACAGAGCAGCCGGCGGUGCUGUCUUCCCCGCACAGAGCCUCAGCCACGCGCAGCGGGAAGCUGCCUCGAGGGGCGUGCUGUCAGGAGGAGGAGCUGGGAGCCCUCAGCUUCCAGGGUGCCUUCUCCCAGGAUCAGCAUGGAGAAGCCUGCAGGCAGGAAAAGGAGAACCCAGGCCCCAGAGGCAGAGGCAGAUGUGCAGAAGGCCACUCUGAAAGGAGAGAAAGCAUCUGGUGGCAAGAGACCCGCAGCACCCAGAGAGCACCACAAGGAGCCGAGUCUGAGCCCUGAAGACGAGGCACAGCUCUUUGAUGCCUUCGACGCCUCGUUUAAAGAUGACUUUGAGGGUGUCCCUGUGUUCAUUCCUUUUCAGAGAAGGAAACCCUAUGAAUGCAGUGAGUGCGGACGAAUCUUUAAGCACAAGACGGAUCACAUUCGCCAUCAGAGAGUUCACACUGGGGAGAAGCCCUUUAAGUGUGAUCAGUGUGGGAAAACGUUCCGGCACAGCUCUGACGUCACCAAACAUCAGAGGAUCCACACUGGGGAGAAGCCGUUUAAGUGUGGGGAGUGUGGGAAAGCCUUCAACUGUGGCUCCAACCUCCUGAAACACCAGAAGACCCACACCGGAGAGAAGCCAUAUGAAUGCCAAGAGUGUGGGAAAGCCUUUGCCUACAGCUCCUGUCUUAUCCGGCACCGGAAACGCCACCCACGGAAGAAGCAUUGAGUGGGGGUGGCCUUCAGGUCACAGAGUUCCUGCUGGGGCACCAGGGCUCCCUCAUGCAGCAUCCGGUGAGGCCUGGGCCCUGUGCUGUGUGCUGUGCGUGCCUCUGGCUACCAUCCCUGUCGUCACCAGAAGAAUCCACCCAUCAGUGUGAGUUGGCAAGAGGCCUUUCUGCAUCAAGCUACAGUGGUGGCACGGAAGCUGCUCGAGGCUCCUUGCAGCCACAGCCAUUUUCCAUGCUGCUCUAUGCUGCUCAGUGCUCAACACAGAACAAACCAGCCUGUCACCUGCCAUCCAUGGGAUACCUGAGGACACCCCUGGGUUCAGUCCCCAGUAGGAGUGGCAUUCGUAGUUGGUGAAGGCUGAUGGCUCCUGAGUGGCCCUGCCUAUGGUGUCCACUCCACUCUGGUCCUGUUACUAACACCUUGAAGACUCCAUCUGUGGAUGCUCAGCCCCUUGGAUCCCUGAGUUUAGUCCCAGGAACUGAGCAGGCACCUGGGGCCCCAAGCUGGAUAGCAGUGGUCUGUGACCAGCUCUGGCUUCUUUACUAGGGUACCAGGCCCCAAGUUCAGCCCCGUCCCUGGAACUGAGCCGCACCUGUGCUCUCCCACCCAGCCGCCACCCCAGAUGGACAACCUGACUUACCCAGACCGACCCGUCAGACAUGGGCUCCUCGGCUCCUGAGUGCUGCCGCCUUGGGAGAUUCCUGCCCUGGCCGUGUGCUAGGCCCCCAGGGUGCUACCUGCAGCUUCCAUCCACUUGACCUUCAGACAUGGUGGUGGCCCUACCCCCUUGGUGGCCUCCACUCAGGUUAGUUCCAGUUCCCUGCCUCUCCCCAAGUCUGUCAAGUCCGCGUGGCUGUGCUGGCCCUUUGUAUCCCAAGAGUGAUUUGGAUGGGACUCUGUGCUCUUGGGGACUGGCUUGUAGGAGGGCAGC
rnacentral:lncRNA from 1 species